AAGAAGAAUUGGACAUGACUGAAAUUUUACUAAAACAAAAAAAACAAAAAACAAAACAAAACAAAAACUGGAUAUUAUACUUUGUACUCCACUCAGGGAUUAUUUCAAUGCAACUGUCAAAAAGAAGUCUGUUUCCUCCAGAGUUGUGAUUAGCAGUUCUGGUUCCCAGAAAUGAAGUUGGUUGAAGGAAAGUAAAGGGAAAACAUCCUCAGGCAACUCCCUGAAAAAGGUUUUGUCAGUAUCCCUUCUCUUCCUAUCUCUGUUGCUACUGCUGCUGCCACUAGAAAAUAGAAAAUGGACUACGUCCCUCUUUCCAACUCAUCCUUCCCAGUUAAAAGCUGCCUUCGAUUUGUCUCUACAAACCACAGAACCCAAAUGUAUGAUAUUCCUUGACCAGAAAGUUGAGAAAAAUUUUCCAGAUGCCAAAGUCACCAGUGUCUAAGUAUAGAGAAGCUCAAUGCACAGUGGGAGUCAUCAGCAUCAACCUGCAGCCCAUGGAGAAGUGUGACACAGGAAAUCCAGGAGAUAUUUCUGUCUCGCCAAGCAAAGCAGAUCUCUCUACUUUUUAAUGUAUGUUUGUGUUCCCCUAUGUUGUAUAUGUUCUGUUAUGUUGUGUAUAUUCCUGGGUGGAAUCUUGUACAGUUGGUAAAGUUGGUACUCUCAAGUUAACAAAACUCAUAAGCUACAAAGCACACCUACUGAACAUCCUCAAAAUAAUAUGAAUUGAGCUAAUUUCUCUGUAGAUAUGAUUUCCUCUCAAAUGUUAGUCAGUUCCUAAUGAGACCAUAUGUCUCAUAAUCUUUAACUCUUGUCCUCCCUAAAAUUAGCUUAUACUCUAAACCAGUAUUACCUCCUGGCUGCUAUGACUUUCUGCUUGCUAAGGGCAGUAAGACACUUGGCUUUGUAAGGCUUUAAGAUAUUUCAACUUCUUUUUGAUUACUAUCUAAAUAAACCAUUCUAAUAAAAGGUGAUAUUUAGGGUUUAAAUCUUUAAUUUUAUCUAUUUUCCAUUCUUUUCUGAACCACCAGUUUAUUGUUUAAAUAGAUGGUGCUGGGUUUGAACUACAGUAGAAACAUGACUUUUUGCCCUUUCUUUGGCUAAUAAAUUGGUAUUGAUUUUGAUUUGUACUUCAACCAGUCAUUGAUCUCAUGGUACAUAGCUAAAAUAAUGUGUAAGCAACAUGUCAACUCCUCUCAAUUAAAGCAUAGUUGACCAUGUCUUUGCCUUUUUUUUUGAUCAUGUCUAGUGUUUUCUAACUUUUUUUUUAAAGAAAGCAUUUAUGAGAUACAAACCAAAGGCUGUACAGGCCUUUGACUUUUCACUUGGUUUCUAGGAUUGUUUUAUUUAAUUUUUGAUAGACUUUCUUCACAUUUUCUUUGUAUGAAACAGUCACCAAAGUUAUAACUAAUUUUUGUUUAAACAAUAACCAAAUAUCACCUUUCUUCCCCAAAAAAUGUAUUUCCUCAAAACAUUAAGACAAAUACUUACUUAUUUGUUUAUUUACAUUCUUCACACUCACUGAAAGGGUUAAAAAUGAAGUAUCAUAUAAAAAUAAAGUUCCUACAUGCUUUUGUACGCAAGAUGAAACAACUGAAUCAACAUCUAUAUGUAUCUCUGUUAUGAGAAUCUAUAAGCUGUCUUUCCAUUUAAUAGUAACAGCUUUGGCUUGUGGUUUCAUUUAUAUUGCCAACAUCUACACAGAUUUGACUCAGUUCCAUUGUUAAAGGAUUUAGCUUUCUUUGUUAUUAGACAAAGACAGCACAUAAAAAGUGUUAGCAAUAAAGUUAAUAUUUAUAGAUAAUCUAAUAAAUAGUUGUUUUU